rnacentral:rRNA from 1 species
GUUUGAUCCUGGCUCAGAUUGAACGCCGGCGGCAUGCCUUACACAUGCAAGUCGAACGGCAGCACGGGAGCAAUCCUGGUGGCGAGUGGCGAACGGGUGAGUAAUACAUCGGAACGUGUCCUGUAGUGGGGGAUAGCCCGGCGAAAGCCGGAUUAAUACCGCAUACGACCUACGGGUGAAAGCGGGGGACCGCAAGGCCUCGCGCUACAGGAGCGGCCGAUGUCAGAUUAGCUAGUUGGUGGGGUAAAGGCCUACCAAGGCGACGAUCUGUAGCUGGUCUGAGAGGACGACCAGCCACACUGGGACUGAGACACGGCCCAGACUCCUACGGGAGGCAGCAGUGGGGAAUUUUGGACAAUGGGGGCAACCCUGAUCCAGCCAUGCCGCGUGCGGGGAGAAGGCCUUCGGGUUGUAAACCGCUUUUGUCGGGGAAGAAACGGUCUGCGCUAAUACCGCAGGCUUAUGACGGUACCCGAAGAAUAAGCACCGGCUAACUACGUGCCAGCAGCCGCGGUAAUACGUAGGGUGCAAGCGUUAAUCGGAAUUACUGGGCGUAAAGCGUGCGCAGGCGGCUUUGCAAGACAGAUGUGAAAUCCCCGGGCUCAACCUGGGAACUGCAUUUGUGACUGCAUGGCUGGAGUGCGGCAGAGGGGGAUGGAAUUCCGCGUGUAGCAGUGAAAUGCGUAGAUAUGCGGAGGAACACCGAUGGCGAAGGCAAUCCCCUGGGCCUGCACUGACGCUCAUGCACGAAAGCGUGGGCAGCAAACAGGAUUAGAUACCCUGGUAGUCCACGCCCUAAACGAUGUCAACUGGUUGUUGGACGGCUUGCUGUUCAGUAACGAAGCUAACGCGUGAAGUUGACCGCCUGGGGAGUACGGCCGCAAGGUUGAAACUCAAAGGAAUUGACGGGGACCCGCACAAGCGGUGGAUGAUGUGGUUUAAUUCGAUGCAACGCGAAAAACCUUACCUACCCUUGACAUGCCAGGAACUUACCAGAGAUGGUUUGGUGCUCGAAAGAGAGCCUGGACACAGGUGCUGCAUGGCCGUCGUCAGCUCGUGUCGUGAGAUGUUGGGUUAAGUCCCGCAACGAGCGCAACCCUUAUCAUUAGUUGCUACGCAAGGGCACUCUAAUGAGACUGCCGGUGACAAACCGGAGGAAGGUGGGGAUGACGUCAGGUCAUCAUGGCCCUUAUGGGUAGAGCUACACACGUCAUACAAUGGCCGGUACAGAGGGCUGCCAACCCGCGAGGGGGAGCUAAUCUCAGAAAACCGGUCGUAGUCCGGAUCGCAGUCUGCAACUCGACUGCGUGAAGUCGGAAUCGCUAGUAAUCGCGGAUCAGCUUGCCGCGGUGAAUACGUUCCCGGGUCUUGUACACGCCGCCCGUCACACCAUGGGAGCGGGUUCUGCCAGAAGUAGUUAGCCUAACCGC